rnacentral:misc_RNA from 1 species
GUAGGUGAACCUGCGGAAGGAUCAUUAGUGAUAUAGAAAUUCUAUUUUCUAGUCUCUAUAUACACCCUUUGUCAACUUAUACCUUUGUUGCUUCCACUGGACAGAUGGAUACGCCCAGUUGCGAGUCCAUCCUCUGGCCUCUUCACAGAGGACGGGGAGUGCCAGUGGAAAGAAUACAAUUAAAACUUUGUCUUUAGAAAACUUGUCUGACAAUUAUAUUUUUUAAUAAAAUAAAACUUUCAACAACGGAUCUCUAGGCUCUU